UGCCCACAGCACCGGCAUUUGCAGUAGGUGUGUGGAAGCAGCUGCAGGCCAGAGGCAGGAGCCAGGGAAAUGUGGCGCCCAGGCCGUCUUGUCCCCUCUGGGCCUCCAUGUCCCCACCUGCACCGUGGCUCGAUGGAGCAGGACAUCUCCCUGGGGGUGGCAGCCACGUUGCCCUCCCGCCAGGAGCCUCCCGUGAGCCCCAGGGCACAGGCCCGCUUCCCCUCCAGGGCUGUACAUUUGCCUUUUAGGAGCCAGAGUUGAGCAGCUCCUGGCUGGGUGUUGGGAACCGUGCCCCAGGCCCAUGGACAGCACAGCCAGCCUCUUGGAAGUCUCAGAAAAUGUAUCACCCGUCACAGGGAUGGUUUCCUGUCUCUGCAGAUACUUCACUCUCCCCUCCCCCGACUCCUCCUCCUGGGCCAUUUCCCAGAAGCGCUCAUCCCCAUGCCCACACGAACACAAACCUCCACGCAGCACUGACCAAGAGCCAGGCCCUACCCCAGGACCUCACAGAUGUCACCUUCGCGGUCCUUUCAGCAACCGAAUGAGGUAGGCCUAUCAUUAUCCCCUCUUCACAGAUGGGGAAACCGAGGCACGGAGCUGUGAAGUGACUUGCCCAAGGCCCCACCGGCAGCCAGUGGCAGAGCCAGGUGCCCCCCAAGAUGUUCACGCCCUAAUCCUCAGGAUCUGCAGACAUGUCACCUUUCAUGGCAAAAGGUCUUUGCAAAUGUGAUGAAACAUCUGAAGAUGGCAAGAUUCUCUUAGGUGAUCUCAGUGGGUCCCAGAGGGGGAACGAUGAAUUGACAGUCUCCCAGCCUGUCUUCCCCACCAGCCAUCCAAGAACCCUGCCUGCCAGGAUGCUGGUCCUGUGUCUGCCUGCCCCACGCCACCGUCACCUUGCAGAGAAACACUGAUUGCCUUCACACAUCUGGCUCCAGCCAACUCCCUCCUCUGCACACCUUGAGGCUCCCAGGCAGAGAGGAGGCUCUUCCCCAGGCCGGGGGCCCCCCUGGGAGGGUGUCCAAUGUCAUGCCAGCCAAGGCCCGUGUGGGCGUAGCUCCUGCAGGUUCUCAAGGUUGU
rnacentral:lncRNA from 10 species